rnacentral:tRNA from 1 species
UGGGAUGUAGCUCAGUGGCAAAGCGCGUGCCUAGCAAGUACAAUGUCCUGGGUUCGAUCCCCAGUACCAA